rnacentral:snRNA from 1 species
CCAACUUCACCUGAUGACUGUUCUUAUCAGCUUAAUAUCUGAUACGGUCCUCAUUGAGGGCCCAGAAUAUUAAACUGAUUUUUGGAACCAGAUGGGGUGCUCGGAGCUUGCUUCACCCCUGUCAAGGGUGGGCCUGGUAUUGCAAUACUGUACCUCUAGGAUCGGCCCUCUCCUU